ensembl:lncRNA
CUGCUUGAUUUCCCUCGUUAUUCACGCAUCUAGUGUCGGGUGUGGUCAGAGAACCCGGCCGCUGCGAGCUGCAGCCAAUCCAAGAGCUCGACGGGUGGCAGGACAUGAGUCUUGGCAGGUGCUGGGUUCAGCAGUGCUGUAGUACAGUAUG